AUGGCAUUAAAAGUUGGACCAAGUAUUACUUUUAUGCCCUUCUUCCUACAAACUAUACACUCCCACUCCCAAAGGCUUUUGUGUUCAGCUUCAAGUCCUUGUCAUUUUCCUCUACAGGUAAUCUCCGACCAAAUUCUAAUGGAAACAAAUAAUUAGAUUGUCGCCGGAAUCUCUCUUUACAUGUAAGUUCACUCUUUUUUUCUCAGUAGAGCUCUCUGUUCAUUCCCCUCUUGGGAUAUACUCAUUUGUUGUUAGGUUUGGAAUUAAAAUUAGAAAUUUUUAGGAUGCAUAUUUAAGUUUUUAUAAAUUUCUAUUCGUUUUCAGGGUUUUAAUUUUUUAGAAAAAAUCUAUUCGAGAUUUAGUUUUUAGCAUUGUCUGUAUAUUCUAGAGUUCUAAUCGAAUUGUUUUGACAAUAUUGAGCCUCAGUCAAAAUAGUAUUGAUAUUAAUACUUUGUUUUGUAGAUAUACCCGUCCCAAAUGUAUUUUCAUUGUAUUGUACAGAUAUGUCACUAGAACCCUCUGAAGAUUAAUGCGAAUUCAUUUUCCUUCUUUCCAGAUAUUUUCACACAAUGUUCUCUCUCUCUUUCUCUCAAAUUAAGGUUCUUAUUCAUUUCAUUUCUUUCACAAUUAUGGGUUGAUUUAUGCACAUUAACAUAAUAUCAGAGCCUAGAAUCAAUUGAUUCUGGCUCGGCUCUAUAGAUCGACGGUGGAUUUGCGAAGUUUCGUGGGAAUUUCUCGUGAAUUUUAUGCGGUGAUUUCUGGUGGUUCACGGUCUAACAAUUUGACGCCUGUCGCCAUGAUUUUGGGUCAAACUUCAAGGCCUUACUUCUUUAGGUUGUAAAGGACGGUAACACCUUCUAUUACUACUCUUCAUGUUCAGUAUUGACAAAAAUCCUGUUAGUCGUCUGCAUUUUGUGAAACAUACCUAAUUAGGGUUUCGUCAAGGGUAGUCCAAAGAUUAGUUCAUCCUCUACUAUUGAUGGAUUUGAUGACUUAACUGUUCCCCCUUCCCAUCCAUUUUAUGCCCAUCCGUCCGAUAUUCCAGGUACUCACCUGGUAUCCCCACCUUUUGAUAGUAAUGGUUUUGUUAUUUGGUGUAAAAACAUGUUAGACUGCACUUUCUGCUUAAAACAAGUUAGGGCUUAUAACUGGCAGAGACCCAAAACCUCAAUUACAUUUUCCAUACUACCAAUUCUGGUUACGAUGGUCAUUGCAUGGAUAACAAACUCACUUUCUAGGGAUAUAGCAAAUAGUGUGAUGUGUUUUGAUACAACUAAGGAUAUGUGGGCUGAUAAUGAGAGGUUUGGUACAUCAAAUGGCUCCAAAUAUAUCCAGAUUCAGAGAGAAGUUAGUGCUACUUCCCAGGGGUCUUUAGACAUUGCCACUUAUUUUACCAAACUGAGUGGUCUUUGGGAUGAACUUAGUACUGCAUAUGUAGGACCAGUUUGCUCUUGUGGAGCUUUUCCUAAAUUCAUUGAAGAAGAGAAAAUCUACCAAUUCUUUAGUAUAUUAAAUGAGUCUUAUUCUACAUGCAAAGGCAAUAUCGUUAUGAUGCCAUCUCUCCCCUCUUUGAGCAAAGCAUAUUCAAUGUUUCAAAUUAAUGACAAGUAGAAGGAGACCUCUGCUCCUGUUCCUGGCUUCUCUAAUGAUUCUGCUUCAUUUAAUGCUUUAGCUGGACAUAUGAAUAAUCAUAGAUUUUUCCAUCAGAGGGUACAUUUUGACUCAAAAAGAGGUUCUACUUCCACCUCAAGUAUGUCUUGUAAGUACUGUAAGAAACCUGGGCACACUAUUGAUAAGUGCUACAAGCUCUAUGAUUUUUCCCCAGACUUCAAGUUUACCAAGAAUAAGAGGUCUGUUGCAUGUGUUCGGUCUAGGGGUCAUAUUCCAGAGUCUAUUUCUUCCAACCAUGGUUCUUAUGAAGUAUCUGGUCAUGGCUUCAGUAGAGAACAAUCACAACAUCUUAUGACUUUGUUCCAGCAGAUUCACACCUCUCCUGCCUUCCACCAUGAGAAUAAUGUUGUUGACAAUUUUGGAUUUGCAAAUUUUGCAGGUGUGUAUAACCACCCUGAAGUGCAUUCUACUUUUUUCAUACAUGUGUAGUUUCAACUUUAGGUUUGAAUCCUUGGAUUAUAGAUUCUGGUGCCACCAAUCACAUGCCACCACAUAAACAUCUUCUCCACAACCUUAAAUCAUUCGUUUCUCCAUUUCUGAUAACCUUACCAAAUGAAUAUAAAGUUAAAGUUAUAUCUACUGGAUCAUUAGUUCUUUGAGCAGAUAUGAUAUUACAUAAUGUUCUUUUAAUUCCAUCCUUUUUUUUCAACUUGAUCUUUGUGCACAAAUUGCUUCUUCAGUUUAAUUGUCUUGCAGUCUUCAGCAUUUCUACUUGCAUUUUACAGGGCCCUUCUUUGAGGAGGCCUCUGGAAAUUGGUAAGGAUGAAAAUGGGUUAUACUUCUUCCAUUCAGCUAAUCCACAACUCCCUAUUCUUGUUCCCUAUUAUGUUUGUAAUUAUAUUCAUAGUGAUGUAUCUGCUCAUGUUUCCAAUUCUCCUGAACAUUCUGUAAUUCAUAGUUCAACUUGUAAUCCACCUGUUGUUGCUAAUAAAAGUGAUUUAUUUUGGCAUCAAA